UAGGGAAUCUUCCACAAUGGGCGAAAGCCUGAUGGAGCAACGCCGCGUGUGUGAUGAAGGGUUCCGGCUCGUAAAACACUGUUGUAAGAGAAGAAUGACAUUGAGAGUAACUGUUCAAUGUGUGACGGUAUCUUACCAGAGAGGAACGGCUAAAUACGUGCCAG
rnacentral:rRNA from 1 species